GCUUAUGCAUACAGGUAUCCCAUCCCUAAGUAAACCUGAAAAUGGAUAAUGCUGACACUACACACUGUUAAAAAACAGAUUUGAAAAAGCUUACCAAAUCAAGAGUUUGUAAAGAUCAAAUUAGAAUUUAAAACCUGAUUUUUGGGGAGGAAGAAAAACCCAUGAAGCACAGGAGAGAACCGACAAACAACUCUACUCUACUGGCAUAUGUUGAGUCUGAGGAUUGGACUUGGGUAGUAUUGAAUGAUUUUGAAAUUUGACCUUGGAAAAUCAAGAGCUGUACAUUGACAGAUUGGACUGGAAGUCAGUUAACUGGAUCUUGGAUUUCUUUUUUUUUUCUUGAAAAGAACCGUAUAUUUAUGGACUGGACUAGACUGGGAAUAACUGGAUCUUGGAUCGCAAAAAUGUUUCCACAUCGGAUCUGCAGCUUUUAUCCUAUACUUUUCAUGUUGAUAUUGAUAACUAGUAAUUUCAUGCUAAAAUUUUCCUUAUAAAUAAAAUGCCAACAGGAAAUUUGA